AGUGUGUGAUAAUGCAUGUAAUGGGUGCAUGGGUUUGGUCCAACAAGAUGUAAGGAAUGCCAGCUUGGAUUUCAAAAUGUCAGUCGAGUCUGCACGUCCUGUCCUGACGAAACCUUUGGCUUCAACUGCAGUGGGGCGUGUCGCUGCUUAUUAAACUGUGAUCCUCAAACUGGAAACUGCGACCAAUUUUCUUGUGCUCAAGGAUGGUCCGGACCACCGAAGUGUCAAACACCCUGUAGCAAUACAACGUUCGGGUCUAACUGUAACUAUCAGUGUCACUGUCCGCCGGAAGAUAGUUGCUCGCCUAUCAACGGCUUGUGCAGUAGUAACCAGUGUGCCGUCGGUUGGUCAAGUGCCGGAUGCCAAAACGAACUUCCUCAGUUGACGAAUCCACCGACGGAAGAAAACGUGACCUGUUUAAAUGCAACUGUCGUCUGGCAGGGCUGGCAGAGAUAUACGGUCCGUGGUAAUCCGGACACGCCAAUAAUUGGAAAUUA